rnacentral:tmRNA from 1 species
GGGGAUGAUUUUGGUUUCGACCUGAUGCAUGAAUUCCUAGGAGCAUGUCGAGUAGCGAAACCUCGUUAAACAUUCGUAUAAACAUAGUCGCAAACGACGAAAACUACGCUUUAGCAGCUUAAUAACCUGCUUUAAAGCCCUCAGUUCUAAGUCUUUCUAGUGACACUUAGUCGCACUGGGGUCAGUUUUUCACUAGAUCGUGUGGAUGCACCGCUUGUUGUUGAAGCAUUAAAUGAAUUUACAAGCUGGAUACUUUGUGGCGUGGCGGUCCGCAGCGGGUAUUGAGAGCAAAGAUUGCCUAAACAUGUAGCGCCGAAGAUGAAGUCAUUGGGGACCUGGGUUCAAGUCCCAGCAUCUCCACCA